AAACGUAGGAGGCAAGUGUUAUCCGGAUUUACUGGGCGUAAAGCGCGUGUAGGCGGUUUGGUAAGUCGGACGUGAAAUCUCCCGGCUCAACUGGGAGACGCCGUUCGAUACUGCCAGGCUAGAGGGCAAUAGAGGGGGGUGGAAUUCCGGGUGUAGCGGUGAAAUGCGUAGAUAUCCGGAGGAACACCUGUGGCGAAAGCGGCCCCCUGGAUUGACCCUGACGCUCAGACGCGAAAGCUAGGGGAGCAAACGGGAUUAGAAACCCCGGUAGUCCUAGCUGUAAACGAUGCAGACUUGGUGUUGGUGGCUUAAACCCCAUCAGUGCCGGAGCUAACGCGAUAAGUCUGCCGCCUGGGGACUACGGCCGCAAGGCUAAA
rnacentral:rRNA from 1 species